rnacentral:rRNA from 1 species
GACGAACGCUGGCGGCGUGCUUAACACAUGCAAGUCGAACGGUAAGGCCCUUCGGGGUACACGAGUGGCGAACGGGUGAGUAACACGUGGGUGAUCUGCCCUGCACUUCGGGAUAAGCCUGGGAAACUGGGUCUAAUACCGGAUAGGACCCUGGGAUGCAUGUCCUGGGGUGGAAAGCUUUUGCGGUGUGGGAUGGGCCCGCGGCCUAUCAGCUUGUUGGUGGGGUGAUGGCCUACCAAGGCGACGACGGGUAGCCGGCCUGGGAGGGUGACCGGCCACACUGGGACUGGGAGACGGCCCAGAUUCCUACGGGAGGCAGCAGUGGGGAAUAUUACACAAUGGGCGCAAGCCUGAUGCAGCGACGCCGCGUGAGGGAUGACGGCCUUCGGGUUGUAAACCUCUUUCAGCACCGACGAAGCGCAAGUGACGGUAGGUGCAGAAGAAGGACCGGCCAACUACGUGCCAGCAGCCGCGGUAA